rnacentral:lncRNA from 1 species
GGAGAGUUGUGAGGAGAUAAGUGACAUAAACUGGCAUGUUCUGAAAGAAUCACUCUGGAUGCUGUGUGGAGAAAACACUGAAAAGAAUUCUAGAGUGAAAGUUUCAUGAAUAUAAGAAGCAAGACAAGGAAGUGGCUUAUGCUUAAGGCCUUAAAGGCAACCACUGUGACAAUCCAGCCAUUCUCUGGAGAAUUCAGCAGAAAGCCAGUUGGAAGGUUUGAAAUGGAAAUUACAAGCGCAAUAUUACAGAAGUGUGGAUUUUAGUUACAAUGUCUCUAUGAGAAAGUCUAAAAGUUAAACAUAAGCAAAACAACAAAAACAUCUAAAUACCAGGGGGAGAAUAAUUGACUCCAUUCAAGUGUUCGCUCCUGUUUCAAUCAACUAUGGCUGAAGAGUGAGGAGACAUUUGGAAUAAAUAUGGCUUCUGGGGGCCCAUUCCUAUGGAUCAGCAGCUGGCUUCUGGAGGCCCAUUCCUGUGAAUCGUCGAUCUCAUAGAAGAUAAUAUUGUUAGAAGGCUUACCUCAUUGAUGCUGAACAUCCUAAAAAGCUUCUGCUGCUUUGAGUCACUGAAAAAGACCAAGAAACAUGAAUUUAAAAAAAAA